CCUGCCGGGCUGUUCAGCGCCACAACCAAAUUACAAAAGCUAGAUUUGAAAGGUAAUCAACUUUUUCACCUACCUGCCGGGCUGUUCAACGCCACAACCAAAUUACAAAACCUAGAUUUGACCGGUAAUCAACUUGUUCACCUACCUGCCGGGCUGUUCAACACUACAAC